rnacentral:misc_RNA from 1 species
GUUCUGGAUAUAUCUUUAGAAAAUUUGCAUCAUAGCUCUGAAUCCCAAGAUGAAGCAAAUAUGGAAAUUGUGGGUUGACUUUUCCUGAUUUAUUAGAAGGAACGAGUCCCCUUGAAAAUAGCAUAACCUCGAUUAUCCACCACACAUUUCACUCUAUUGGGAUCAAAUGCAUCUUCAGGCUUUAAAGAUGUUACAGCAGUACUAAACACUGCAUCUGGGGAUGCCUGCAGUGCUUUAACAAUUCCAUCAAUUAUCUCAGGUUCAAUGAGAGGCUCAUCCCCCUGAAUAUUGACAACAACAUCAUAUUUCUUUUCUAGCUUUCCAAGAGCUUCAUUGCAUCUUUCUGUACCAUUUCUACAAGAUUCUGAAGUCAUUAUCACAUCUGCCCCAAAUCCACGACAACACUCUGCAAUCUUUUCAUCAUCCGUUGCCACAACUAUGUGAUCCAAGGUAGUUGCUAAUUUUGCUCUUUCCCAAGUUCUCUGAAUCAUGGGUUUCCCUAGAAUUUGGACUAGUGGCUUGCCCUGGAACCGAGAGGAAGCGAAACGAGCAGGUAUGAUUCCUACAACCCGGCUUCGGAACUUUCUG